UUAUGUUUUCUAAGUUGGUGUUUAGCUUUGCUUGAAGCUUCAAGAAAAGUUAAUUUCAGAGAUCUCUUAAGACAAGGCUUGCAUCUAGAAGGUUUAAUAAGUGGACAUAUAUACUCAAUGCUUACUCAAAUUUGCGUAUAAAAAAGCUUAUGAAUUUUAAGGAGAAAGAUGGCUUUUCAUUUUGAUUGGUGAUGAACUGGACUAAUUAUACCACUCACCAGUGGCAUGGAAUCUUUGAGUCAAGGUGAAAAGGUUUGCAUUGGUGAGCUUCUUUUGUAUUUCUCUUGCCUUUCGAAGGGCACGAGAUUGAGGAUGUAUACUUUUAUAAUGCAUGGUAUGAGAUGGAGUUUCAACUAAUGAACAAUUAGAUGCUUGCAGUGCACACAAGA